rnacentral:rRNA from 1 species
GACGAACGCUGGCGGCGUGCUUAACACAUGCAAGUCGAACGGUGAAGCGCCUUCCUUUUUGGUGGGUGUGGAUGAGUGGCGAACGGGUGAGUAACACGUGAGUAACCUGCCCCCUUCUUCUGGAUAACCGCAUGAAAGUGUGGCUAAUACGGGAUAUUCUGGGUCUGUCGCAUGAUGGGUCUGGGAAAGAUAUUGUUUCGGUGGGGGAUGGGCUCGCGGCCUAUCAGCUUGUUGGUGGGGUGAUGGCCUACCAAGGCGGUGACGGGUAGCCGGCCUGAGAGGGUGGCGGUCCCACGGGGGAAGGGGACCCGGCCGGAACUCCACAGGGGGGGCGCUGUGGGGAAUGUUGCAAAAGGGGCGAAAGCCUGAAGGGGCGGCGCCGGGUGGGGGAGGGGGGCCGUGGGGUUGUAAACCCUUUUCGCCGGUGAAGCAGGCCGGCUUGGUUUGUGGGUGGGUGGGCGGAAGGGGGAAAAGAAGCCCCGGCAAACUCCUG